GGGGGCGUAGCUCAGAUGGUAGAGAGCUCGCUUAGCAUGCGAGAGGUACGGGGAUCGAAGCCCAGCGCCUCCG
rnacentral:tRNA from 1 species